GACGAACGCUGGCGGCGUGCCUAAUACAUGCAAGUUGAGCGAUGAAGAUUGGUGCUUGCACCAAUUUGAAGAGCAGCGAACGGGUGAGUAACGCGUGGGGAAUCUGCCUUUGAGCGGGGGACAACAUUUGGAAACGAAUGCUAAUACCGCAUAACAACUUUAAACAUAAGUUUUAAGUUUGAAAGAUGCAAUUGCAUCACUCAAAGAUGAUCCCGCGUUGUAUUAGCUAGUUGGUGAGGUAAAGGCUCACCAAGGCGAUGAUACAUAGCCGACCUGAGAGGGUGAUCGGCCACAUUGGGACUGAGACACGGCCCAAACUCCUUCGGGAGGCAGCAGUAGGGAAUCUUCGGCAAUGGACGAAAGUCUGACCGAGCAACGCCGCGUGAGUGAAGAAGGUUUUCGGAUCGUAAAACUCUGUUGGUAGAGAAGAACGUUGGUGAGAGUGGAAAGCUCAUCAAGUGACGGUAACUACCCAGAAAGGGACGGCUAACUACGUG
rnacentral:rRNA from 1 species